GAGUAUAUAGCUCAGUGGUAGAGAGCAUGCUUAGCAUCCAUGAGGUCCUGGGUUCUAUCCCCAGUACCUCCA
rnacentral:tRNA from 1 species